CCCUACGGGGCGCAGAAGUGGGGAAUAUUGCGCAAUGGGCGAAAGCCUGACGCAGCGACGCCGCGUGAGGGAUGAAGGUCUUCUGAUCGUAAACCUCUGUCAGCAGGGAAGAACGGUCACUGUGCUAAUCAGCAGUGAAUUGACGGUACCUGCAAAGGAAGCACCGGCUAACUCCGUGCCAGCAGCCGCGGUAAUACGGAGGGUGCGAGCGUUAAUCGGAAUUACUGGGCGUAAAGCGCUCGUAGGCGGUCUGUCCAGUCAAGGUAGAAAUCCCCGCGCUCAACGUGG
rnacentral:rRNA from 1 species